GACGAACGCUGGCGGCGUGCCUAAUACAUGCAAGUAGAACGCUGAAGAGAGGAGCUUGCUCUUCUUGGAUGAGUUGCGAACGGGUGAGUAACGCGUAGGUAACCUGCCUUGUAGCGGGGGAUAACUAUUGGAAACGAUAGCUAAUACCGCAUAACAAUGGAUGACCCAUGUCAUUUAUUUGAAAGGGGCAAAUGCUCCACUACAAGAUGGACCUGCGUUGUAUUAGCUAGUAGGUGAGGUAACGGCUCACCUAGGCGACGAUACAUAGCCGACCUGAGAGGGUGAUCGGCCACACUGGGACUGAGACACGGCCCAGACUCCUACGGGAGGCAGCAGUAGGGAAUCUUCGGCAAUGGGGGCAACCCUGACCGAGCAACGCCGCGUGAGUGAAGAAGGUUUUCGGAUCGUAAAGCUCUGUUGUAAGUCAAGAACGAGUGUGAGAGUGGAAAGUUCACACUGUGACGGUAGCUUACCAGAAAGGGACGGCUAACUCCGUG
rnacentral:rRNA from 1 species